rnacentral:rRNA from 1 species
AGCAGCCGCGGUAAUUCCAGCUCCAAUAGCGUAUAUUAAAGUUGUUGCAGUUAAAAAGCUCGUAGUUGAAUUUCGGGAUCAAUGCGUCGGUCGUGCCUUCGGUACGUACUAGCGUCAUUGAUUCCUCCCUUCUGAAGAUCCGUGAUGUCAUUAAUUUGGUGUUACGGGGAAUCAGGACUGUUACCUUGAAAAAUUAGAGUGUUUAAAGCAGGCUAACGCUUGAAUACAUUAGCAUGGAAUAAUGAAAUAGGACGUUCGAACCUAUUUUGUUGGUUUCUAGGAUCGACGUAAUGAUUAAUAGGGAUAGUUGGGGGCAUUAGUAUUCAAUUGUCAGAGGUGAAAUUCUUGGAUUUAUUGAAGACUAACUACUGCGAAAGCAUUUGCCAAGGAUGUUUUCAUUAAUCAAGAACGAAAGUUAGGGGAUCGAAGACGAUCAGAUACCGUCGUAGUCUUAACCAUAAACUAUGCCGACUAGGGAUCGGAUGAUGUUAAUUUUUAAUGUACUCAUUCGGCG